AAUUAUGUGCCUAUUAGUGAACUUAAUAAAAGUUUGUAUUCAAGCUCGUUUAUCAUUGAUUUAUUAGAUGGUUUAUCGCCUUUGUGCCUAAGAUCGUUGAACUCAUAUAAAAUUGUCCAUAACUAAAGUUGUUGGCGCGGUUACAUUUCAAAUUUUUAGUCUCAUUCAGAUUCUUAUGGAUAUAUCUGUACAAACGUUCUAUGUACGCAUUUACGUUUGCAAAUAGAUUUACUUGUCAAACAUUUGUAUUUUGUAGACGCUUCUUACACAUUGUAAAUUUAUUUCAGAAUUAUCGGCGGUUAGUGAUCGUGUGCUAGAAAUUUUUGGGCACCAAUUGGCCAACAUUAGAAGUAGAGAAAACGCAAGAGAUGGGUACCCAACACAGUUGUAUAGGGAGGCAAUCAAUUUCGAAACCCAACACGUGGAUUUGUGCGGACCAAUUUUAUGGUGAAUAUAUCAAAGUACAAUAACAAAAAAGUCGGCAAACAUAAAAAAAUAAUAAAUUUAGAAUUUCAAGACAAAAAUGGCAUAUACAGACGUCAUGUCAACUAGUGAACAGUGUUUUUAUAUAUUUUUAAAUUGUUUAGUUUUUUUAAUGUAUUUAUGUAUCCUAUUUCCUGAUUUUCCCAGGGUAAAACGUGCACCUAAAGUGGGGAAUUGGAACGUUAAAUUUUUUUUAUUGUCUAUAAUAGCAUCAGCGCGGAUCUCACUAAUGGAUCCGUCACUGGUUUGUCUGAAUACGAGAUCAUCAAGUCUGACUUGAACUCUGAUGGAGUGAGACUUCAAAUUGAUAUAGAUAUCAAGUUCCCUAAACUGCAAUUGGAAGCAGGUGAAGCUACGCUACAAUUACAGAAUAUUAUUUUGUUAGCAGUCUAGUAUGCCUCUCAUACUUACUUAUUUAGAAUAUAACAUACCUAAUAUUGACCUAUUGAGUUUUGAGAGAGACAUUAAAAAUAUUACUAUUGCACUAUUAGUGACCUUUUUCUUAAUAACUCCACAUAUAUAGUUCAAGACUAAAGCAGAACAUUGUUUUUGGACAGAUUACUAUACCAUGAAGGGAAAUAUUAUGGAAGCCAUACCGUUAUCUGGUGAAGGAAAGUUGCUGUAAGUUUAAUUUGAAAUGCUUUGAAAACAUAGGUAUUCAAUGAACAAUAAUAGAACCGACACUUUAUAGAGCAAAUAAACUUAUCCGUAUUAUUUCUUCACGCGGGAGCCUUGUAGCUGUUUAUCGGUGGAGUCAAAGAAACAGACAAUCAAGUAAAACCGUAGCGUAGCGUAGUUAUCUCUCUCUAUCACUCUUCCAUAUUUGUGCGACAGUGACAGUUUGCUUUUCGUUCACUACGGAGCGUUAACGAUUGGCAUGUUGUCUACGCGCUCUGGACUGAAAAGCUAUAGGCAAUUAUUGUAUUGUAGCACUGGCAAGCUCCCGCAAUUUUAAGACUGGGUGCACUGUGGGCUGAAAUUCGGCUCUCUUUGACAUAGAAACCGAAGUUGUUAUUUUUUUAUUAUUGAAAUACUUUUUGCCCAGCAUUCUUAUGCUUAUCUAUGAAUUUCGGCCGAUUUGAAAUAACGAGUGUCGAGUUACGAUUUUUAUUCAAAAAAUGUAUGGAGUAGGAACAAAGUAUCAUUAUAUUUCAAUAACCUCAAAAUAUACUGUAAUAUCCUCGCAGAUGUUUAUACUGGCCCUGUAACAUGACCAAAUAAUUAAAAAAUAUAUUGUACUCCCCAAGCGAUAAAACUUUUGUUGAAAAACUUUUAAAAAUUAUGAAGUCUUUAGAUUUCCUAUUGUUCAUACCAUACAUAUUAAUUAUUAAUCUUAAAUGUACGCUAUCAUCAUUGUAAUUGACGGUGCUUGUUACACUUUAACUAAACGUUAACGUGUACUAAAAAUCAAAACACACGUUAUUUUUAAAAGUUGCUAAACAUAAUUAUGUUGGUCAAUUUGAGGAGUGCAACCUUCACUUUAAUUUAUUGUUCCUGUUCCAGGGUCUACCAGGUAUGACAUCUAUUUAUGGUUAUAUAUAAUUAUAUAAUAGUGUGAUUAUAAAAACAAUUACCUAUUAAAAACACAAAUAAAAAAAAUUGCCUAAAGUAAUUUGAUUCAUUCCCUAGUCGUACAAAAAUUGUUUACUUAAACGAUUUUUACUCAGAUUUCAGGAUUACAAUCGGUGAGUAUUGAUUAAUCACUAGCUGCAUUUGAACUGCCUACUUCUGUGUUGCAGCUUCCAAACAACGGAUUUAAGAAUAUGGACUAUAAUUGUACUGCAUGUAUCAGACUAUACCUCUAUUGAAAGCUUUGAGAACUCUGGUUUCAGUAUUAACAGUAUUUUGGUGAGUAUAGUGACUGUAUAGUUUUUAUUUGUCAUAUGAUUUUUUUUAAUGCUAAGUCUACGUACAAGUGUAUUCAGAGGCAACAAGACGUAAAAUAAAUAUACUUAAAGGUGAAUUUAGGUUGUUAAAAAGAUGUAUAUUAACCGAAUUCAUUUUCGCUACCUCAGUAUAUUGUAUUUUUUUAAUCCAUCAAUUUUCUGCCUUUUUUGUCUUUACGUCUCGAAUGCGACGAACAAGAGCAUUUAAAAUGGGAAUUGACCAUGGAUUGACCACUGAAAGACGGGACACAAUAAAUGGCAGUUAGAACAAUAAAGCCAGGGCUAAAACAUUAUACGUGAUUCGGUAUUACGGAGAACUUUUUGGCUUACCCCUGUUACCCCAACUUACGCCAACGCACCCUGUGUGAAAUAAUACCAAUAUUUACCUAUAUUUUAUUCAUUUAUUAAUUGCUUGUAAAUACUGAAUAAAUCAAUCAAUAUUUCCGAAAAAUUUACUUAAGACUAAUACGGAGCAGACUUUCAAAUUAUAACGAAUUAAUUAGCUCCUCAAUUAAUAUGUCUAUUAAAAUAGGAUCUGUUUUACCAAUAACUAUACAUUAAAUCAUGUAACUGGAUCGCAAAUGUGUUAAUCCAGACAGGUGACAGUAACUUUUUAAGAGGUCGAUAUACUUUCUUAUAGUUUAAAACAAAUGUGUACUUUAUAAACAUGCGCAUAUCAUGGGUAGCCACUGGUGACCAAUGACCAUGUACCAAUAACAAUAUUUUUAUUUCUAGUUUUAAAUUUUACUCUGUAGGUAUAUUCAUAAGCGAUAGCAGUAGCUGCUUAUCAUGUGAAUAUUAAGCGUCCACUAGUGUAGUUGAUGUUCUGCCGCUAUUCAUAUCGUAAUGAUUGUGUCUGUUUGCCACAAACAGCUGUGAUUUAAUCGCUAUACACGUCAAAAAUAAGCUUCUUUGUGUUAUCCGAUUGAUUACAGUAGUAACCACUUACUGCAUACAAUUUUAUCACUUAUUUACCUAAUACCUAUGAAUAAAAUGCGAGUAAUUUAUUUAUAGGAAUGGUGCAUAAAGUUAGGAUUUAGAAUAAUAAUAAUGCGUACUGUCAAUAUCAUUCCAAUUUGCGUCAUUCUGACAUCCUUAUUGAGCGUUAAUAUAUACCUAAUGUAUUACUAUGAUGCAGGAACACUGUAUACUGUAUAAUACUGUAGUUAAACCGAUAGUCUCAAAUUAGCGGACGCAUUUUACGUUUCUAAUUGUACUUUAAUUUGAUUGGUUAUACAUAAAUAUAUACCUAGUUACAAUAACAAGUUAAUAACAAACUCGCCCAAUGUCACAAAUAUAUACAUUCGUAAUAACAAGCUUGUUCGGAACUUGUCUCGCAAAUGUCUUUUUCGGCCCUCCGGGCGGAAAGAGUCUUUUUUGCUCCCGCUGCGCUAAACGAAGUUUAAAUACAAUUUUAUACGCGGCACGCAAUGUCCUACUUUUUCUCCCUUGGGAAGCGAAUAACUAUUUCACCAUCAGCGUGCGUCGUUGGGGAUAGGUACGCAUCUCCAAUUUUCUUCCACAUAUCUAACUGGUCCGAUUUACUGUACAUAUAUCUCCUCCAAAGUGGGCCUUUAACUUUAUCCUCCCUUGAAGUUUGGGGUCUAUGAUCCGGUUUUUGGAGAUACAGUUGAAGAAUAGUUAUUUGUAUGUACAACAAGAGAGCAAAGUUUGAUAUUUCUUCGAGUGCUUGUUUUGAGUCCCGUGCAAGCCAAAGAUUCUAUAAAAUAUUCACGAGCGUAGCGAGUGAAUCUAA